AUGAAAAGAAAAGAAAAGAAACUUGCAAAUAUGCCUCGUGGAACGGACAGAGGGUGAAAAUGUUGUACAUGUUUGCGUAGAAGAUGCUCUGCUUAAUUUUCAGGCAAAAUAUAAAGGUCCACUUGAUUGAUUAAUCUAGUUUGCUGCAGGCUGCCGCUUACAAUUCAAAAUGAUUCUAAUCCGCCCCCUUUGUUUGUCAUGCAUCUUGUCAUCUUUCUCCCCAUAUUCAGGGUCACCAUAUCUACUCCUUUAUUCAUUUGUUAGUUUAAAUAAAUUAUAUUUAAAACUCACAUUUUGUGCGCACUCAUAA
rnacentral:lncRNA from 1 species